rnacentral:rRNA from 1 species
UGACAGGUGGUGCAUGGUUGUCGUCAGCUCGUGUCGUGAGAUGUUGGUUAAGUCCCGCAACGAGCGCAACCCUCGACCUUAGUUGCCAGCAUUCAGUUGGGCACUCUAAGGUGACUGCCGGCUAAAAGUCGGAGGAAGGUGGGGAUGACGUCAAAUCAUCAUGCCCCUUAUGACCUGGGCUACACACGUGCUACAAUGGGCGGUACAAAGGGUCGCGAACCCGCGAGGGGGAGCCAAUCCCAAAAAGCCGCUCUCAGUUCGGAUUGCAGGCUGCAACUCGCCUGCAUGAAGCCGGAAUCGCUAGUAAUCGCGGAUCAGCAUGCCCGCGUCGAAUACGUUCCGGCCUU